AGUGCCAUAUAAAACCUGGGUGAUACAGGAAAUGCCAGAUGGAAAAGCUGACUCUGGUUUUCUGGCCCCACCCCAUCUGUAUGAGAAGGACUAUCCUGUCAUUAUGUGCAGUGUUUGAUGUUUUCACGUAUGUUCCUGUCUCAGGAAAACACUGAAGAUUAGCUAGCAACCAGGUGGUUGUAUCUCAUUGGUAAAAGUCUUGGGAUGGUUUAAUCUCAUGGCUUUGCCUGAUGUUCACAUAAACCUCACUCUUCCUACCCAAGCUGACAGCGUGUUAUUGUUUGUGUAUGUUCUAUGGCUACUUGCUUCCAAAAUGCACAAUUUAAUGUGAAAAAAAGUAUGUUGCUAUGCCCAUCUCUUCUGUCACCAAAAUGAAAAGGCUCACAGAAUUCCUCUGCCCACCCUCCAGACACAUUGCACAGUGACAUUCUCUGGAAGUGUGGAAGGCCACGUACAAAGAGUAGAAGUGAGAAACUCCUGCUGUGCACCAGCUGCCUGAAGAAAAGCUUUGGAGGAGUACAGGAGGCAAGUUGCUCAGCUUUGCUCUUACUGUGCUCAUUUGCUGCCACAAAAAUGGGUAGACUUUUAAAAGCCAUGCUGUGGGUCACCUGUAACUUCUGGACCCACCAUGAUUCUUCCGCAGUCUCCUUUGCCAAAUCAAAGCUUUGCAGCAGGCAAUCCAGACACUUGUCACUGGAUGCAGGGAAUGACACCUCACAGUGGAAUGGGCAUUGGCAGGCAGGGGGCAGAAGCAGUCCUCUAAGAAACAGUAGCUGUGGCACAAGUAGAGGCCAGUGCUACAUACAGAUGGCAGCCAGGAACCCCACACGUCCAGCUCGAUGUCACAACAUGGGGAACAUCCUACGUCACCCAUUACGGCUGAUCAGCAGCCUCCACAGGUGGGUCUUUCAGGAGGCAGGAAGUGGAGCAAGGGUCCAUGGCUGAGUGCAUUAUAGGAAUAUAAACAUCAUCCAUGUCUGGCAUGACAAAAACUUUCUGAAGCUCUUGCUCCAGUUUCUUCUCUAUCCAGUCUGUCACGUGAACUAAAGUCACUUCUCUCUCUCCAAGUUUUGGCCGGGCUUUCAGCUCCACGUGGUGGCUUUCGGAAACCAUACCAUACUCGGCCAGUUGGCGGUGGUGGAAUGUUGACUGCCAAGGUUCCUCUGCAUUCUUGUACUUCAACAGUGAGCAGCAGGGGUGUGUUGGAGAGUUCUUCAAUCUUCUUUUUAAUAAACUCUGUCUCUGUUGCUUUUUGGAAAUAUUUUGACUUGGUAAUUUAUCAACAAACAUUUGAACUGCCAGAGUUAGCUUACAGGACACUUGCCAGAGUUUUGUGUGACUAUUUUAAACACUUUAAAUGCUUGGAACAGGAAACUGCAGCAGCAGGGACUGAACCCCCUCCAGCCACCACCAGCCUGGAAGAGCAGCCCAAGGUCCACCUAGCCGGAAAAACCAUGUCCAAACCAGGAAAUGGACAGCCCCCAGUCCCUGAGAAGCCGCCCCUGAAGGACAGCAUUUCCACAUGAUUGACAGCGUCCACUCACUGGGAAAGGUGACCUCAGAUGUGGCCGAAAGAAGGAAGCUGAACGCAGGGUGUGGCCUGUCGGAGGAGUUAGGUUCUGCCUGACGUUCAGGAGAAGUGACCCUGGUGAAAGGGGAUCUCAGGUCCCUGGAGGAGUGGGGACAGUGGUAGAUGAUGACUUCAGUAUCUACUAUGAUUUUUACUCUGUGGAUGAGCACAUGGACUCUGACAGCAAGUCGGAAGUUGAAGCUCUAACUGAACAACUAAGUGAAGAGGAGGAGGAAGAGGAAGAAGAGGAGGAAGAUGAGGAGUCAGGGAAUCAGUCAGAUAGGAAUGGUUCUAGUGGCCGGCACAAGGCCAAGAAGAAAUGGCGAAAAGACAGCCCAUGGGUGAAGCCAUCUCGGAAACGGCACAAGCAGGAGCCUCCGAGCGCCGAGGAGCCACGAGGAGUGAACGGUGUGGGCUCAGGCCCCAGUGAGUACAUGGAGGUACCUCUGGGGACCCUGGAGCAGCCCAGCGAGGGGACCCUCUCCCUCAACCAUGCUGGGGUGUCCAAUGACACAUCUUCGCUGGAGACAGAGUGCAGGUUUGAGGAGUUGCCCCUGUGCAGCUGCCGCAUGGAGGCACCCAAGAUUGACUGCAUCAGUGAGAGGGCAGGGCACAAGUGCAUGGCCAUGGAGAGUGUGGACAGAGAGCUUUCGGGCUGCAACGCCACCAUCCUCAAGCGGGAGACCAUGAGGCCACCCAGCCGCGUGGCCCUGAUGGUGCUCUGUGAGACCCACCACACCCGCAUGGUCAAACACCACUGCUGCCCGGGCUGCGGCUACUUCUGCAUGGCGGGCACCUUCCUUGAGUGCCACCCUGACUUCUGCGUGGCCCACCACUUCCCCAAGGUCUGUGUGUCCCAGCUGAAUGGUAUGGUCUUCUGCCCCCACUGUGGGGAGGAUCAUUCUGAGGCUCAGGAGGUGACCAUUCCCCGGGGUGAUGGGGUGACCCCACUGGCCGGCACUGCAGCUCCUGCACCCCCACCCCGUCCCAGGUUGCCCCCGGGAGAGCAGACACUUCCCAGCCCAGCGCCCGGAUGCGAGGCCAUGGGGAGCCCUGGCGCCCACCCUGCUAUCCCCUGGCUGACACCAUCAACAGCUCAGGACCCUCCCUGACCCUGCCCAAUGGGAGCUGCCAUGGGGCUGCCACUGGGGCCAGGCUGGGAGACCCUGGAAAAGGCCCUGGUCAUCCAGGAGUCAGAGAGGUGGAAGAAGCUCCGUUUCCAUCCUCGGCAGUUGUACCUGCCUGUGAAGCAGGGCGAGCUGCAAAAGGUGAUCCUGAUGCUGUUGGACAACCUGGACCCCAACUUCCAGAGCGACCAGCAGAGCAAGCGUAGGCCCCUGCAUGCAGGCGCCCAGAAGGGCUCCGUGGAGAUCUGCCAUGUGCUGCUGCAGGCUGGAGCCAACAUAAAUGCAGUGGGCACCACUGAUGGAGGCCGUGGUGAACAACCACCUGGAGGUGGCCUGUUACAUGGUACAGCCUGGCGGCUGCGUCUGUACCAAAGAGGAGGGCGGUUCCACCUGCUUCCACCAUGCAGCCAAAAUCGGCAACUUGGAGAUUGUAAGCCUACUGCUGAGCACGGGACAGGUGGAUGAAAACGCCCAGGACAGUGGUGGGUGGACACCCAUCAUCUGGGCUGCAGAGCAUAAGCACAUCGAGGUAAUCCGCAUGCUAUUGACACAGGGCACUGACGUCACCCUCACUGACAACGAAGAGAACAUCUGCCUGCACUGGGCCUCGUUCACUGGCAGCGCCACCAUCUCUGAAGUGCUUCUGAAUGCAUGCUGUGACCUCCAUGCUGUCAACUACCACGGGGACACGCCCCUGCACAUCGGAGCUCGGGAGAGCUACCAUGACAGCGUGCUGUUAUUCCUGUCAUGUGGAGCCAAGCCUGAGCUGCAAAACAAGGAGGGGAACAUGGUAUGGGACCUGACUCCCAAGCGCUCCAACUUGCGGUUUGUGCUUCAACUCAACCGCAAGCUCUGACUCGGGGUAGGAAAUCAGGCCAUCCACACAGAGAAGAUCAUCUGGCGGGAUGUGGCUCGGGGCUAUGAGAACAUGCUCAUUCCCUAUGUCAAUAGUGUGGACGGGGAGCCCUGCCCCAAGGAUUACAAGCACAUCUCGGAAAACUGCAAGAUGUUCACCAUGAACAUCGACCGCAACAUCACCCAUCGGCAGCACUGCACGUGUGUGGACGACUGCUCCAGCUCCAACUGCCUGUGCAGCCACCUCAGCAUCCCGUGCUGGUAUGACAAGGAUGGGCGAUUGCUCCAGGAAUUUAACAAGAUUGAGCCCCCACUGAUUUUUGAGUGUAACCAGGCAUGCUCCUGCUGGAGAAGCUGCAAGAGCUGGGUCAUACAGAGCGGCAUCAAAGUUCGGUUACAGCUCUACCAAACAGCCAAGAUGGGCUGCGGGGGGUCCAUGCCCUGCAGACCAUCCCACAGGGAACCUUCAUCUGCAAGUAUGUUGGGGAGCUGAUCUCUGAUGCUGAGGCUGAUGUGAGAGAGGAUGAUUCUGACCUCUUCAACUUAGACAACAAGGAUGGAGAGGUGUACUGCGUUGAUGCUCGUUACUAUGGCAACAUCAGCUGCUUCAUCAACCACCCAUGUGACCCCAACAUCAUUCCCGUCUGGGUCUUCAUGCUGCACCAAGACCUGCGAUUUCCACGCAUUGCCUUCCUCAGUUCCUGAGACAUCCGGACUGGGGAGGCGCUAGGGUUUGACUAUGGCGACCACUUCUGGGAUAUCAAAAGCAAAUACUUCACCUGCCAGUGCGGCUCUGAGAAGUGCAAGCACUCAGCUGAAGCCAUUGCCCUAGAGCAGAGCCAUCGGGCCCACCUGAACCCACACUCCCCGAGCUGCUGCCCAAGCUCAGCUCCCUGCCCCCGUCAACACCUGAGAAUGGACCACACCCUUCCUCCCCAGCAUGGACGGCCACAGCUCAGCCACCUCCUCUGCCACCAGCUUCUCGCAGCCCAAGCCUGGGGGUGCUGCCAUCUUCUCUCUCCACCACCCCUUCACACAUUCCUGACCAGAGACUCCAGACAGGCCCUGGAGGUCUGACAGCCCCUCCCUCCCAGAGCUGGUUCCUCCCUGGAAGGGCAGCUUCAGGGCCACCCCCUGUUCCCCAUCCUCAGCUGAAGUUUGAUGAAUUGAAGUCGGGCCUCUAUGUCAACUGGUUCCUUUUGUUCUCAAUAAAUGUCGGGUUUGGUAAUUAAAAAAAAAAAAGAAAUUAAUAUAUUGAAAACAUGUUUGAACCCUUAUUUUAAUUGCGCCGUUAAAACAUUUGACUUAAAAAAAAAAGGCCU